AUUGAACGCUGGCGGCAUGCCUUACACAUGCAAGUCGAACGGCAGCACGGGAGCAAUCCUGGUGGCGAGUGGCGAACGGGUGAGUAAUAUAUCGGAACGUGCCCAGUCGUGGGGAUAACGUAGCGAAAGCUACGCUAAUACCGCAUACGAUCUAUGGAUGAAAGCGGGGGAUCGCAAGACCUCGCGCGAUUGGAGCGGCCGAUAUCAGAUUAGGUAGUUGGUGAGGUAAAGGCUCACCAAGCCGACGAUCUGUAGCUGGUCUGAGAGGACGACCAGCCACACUGGGACUGAGACACGGCCCAGACUCCUACGGGAGGCAGCAGUGGGGGAAUUUUUGGGACAAUGGGCGCAAGCCUGAUCCAGCAAUGCCGCGUGCAGGAUGAAGGCCUCGGUUGUAAC
rnacentral:rRNA from 1 species